UACGGAGGAUGCAAGCGUUAUCCGGAAUUAUUGGGCGUAAAGCGUCCGCAGGUGGCACUUCAAGUCUGCUGCCAAAGACCGGGGCUUAACCCUGGAAAGGCAGUGGAAACUGAAGCGCUAGAGUGUGGCAGGGGUAGAGGGAAUUCCCGGUGUAGCGGUGAAAUGCGUAGAGAUCGGGAGGAACAUCAGUGGCGAAGGCGGCCUUCUGGACCAGUACUGACGCUGAGGCACGAAAGCCAGGGGAGCGAACGGG
rnacentral:rRNA from 1 species